rnacentral:rRNA from 1 species
ACCAGACUCCUACGGGAGGCAGCAGUGGGGGAUAUUGCACAAUGGGGGGAACCCUGAUGCAGCGACGCCGCGUGGGUGAAGAAGCGCCUCGGCGCGUAAAGCCCUGUCAGCAGGGAAGAAAAUGACGGUACCUGAAGAAGAAGCCCCGGCUAACUACGUGCCAGCAGCCGCGGUAAUACGUAGGGGGCAAGCGUUAUCCGGAUUUACUGGGUGUAAAGGGGGCGCAGACGGCGAUGCAAGCCAGGAGUGAAAGCCCGGGGCCCAACCCCGGGACUGCUCUUGGAACUGCGUGGCUGGAGUGCAGGAGGGGCAGGCGGAAUUCCUAGUGUAGCGGUGAAAUGCGUAGAUAUUAGGAGGAACACCAGUGGCGAAGGCGGCCUGCUGGACUGUAACUGACGUUGAGGCUCGAAAGCGUGGGGAGCAAACAGGAUUAGAUACCCUAGUA